rnacentral:rRNA from 1 species
GACAGAGGGUGCAAGCGUUGUUCGGAAUUACUGGGCGUAAAGGGCGCGUAGGCGGCCUGCUAAGUCGAACGUGAAAUCCCUGGGCUCAACCCAGGAACUGCGUCCGAUACUGGUUGGCUUGAAUCCGGGAGAGGGAUGUGGAAUUCCAGGUGUAGCGGUGAAAUGCGUAGAUAUCUGGAGGAACACCGGUGGCGAAGGCGACAUCCUGGACCGGCAUUGACGCUGAGGCGCGAAGGCCAGGGGAGCAAACGGG